rnacentral:lncRNA from 1 species
CAAGCAGUCACACAAUGGUUCUUGGAGCACGUGAUCUUUUGGAAUCAACAUUGUCAAAACCAGAAGUGCCACAACUUCCCAAACCUGAGCUCCCUAAGAUUCCUGAGUUGCUCCCAAAACCAGAGUUGUCUAAAGUUCCUGAACUGCCUAAACCAGAGUUGUCUAAAGUCCCUGAACUGCCUAAACCAGAAUUGCCUAAAGUCUCUGAACUGCCUAAACCAGAGUUGCCUAAAGUCCCUGAACUGCCUAAACCAGAGUUGCCUAAAGUCCCUGAACUACCUAAACCAGAGUUGCCUAAAGUCCCUGAAUUGCCUAAACCAGAAUUGCCUAAAGUCCCUGAACUACCUAAACCAGAAUUGCCUAAAGUUCCUGAACUGCCUAAGAUCCCUGAAUUACCUAAGCCAGAGUUGACUAAAGUCCCUGAAGUGCCUAAGCCAGAGUUGACUAAAGUACCUGAGUUGCCUAAAUUCUCAGAAGUGCCUAAGUCUGAGUUGCCCAAAGUACCUGAGUUACCUAAAGUCCCUGAAGUGCCUAAGUCUGAGUUGCCCAAAGUACCUGAGUUACCUAAAGUCCCUGAAGUGCCUAAGUCUGAGUUGCCCAAAGUACCUGAGUUAUCUAAAGUCCCUGAAGUACCUAAGUCUGAGUUGCCCAAAGUACCUGAGUUACCUAAAGUCCCUGAAGUACCAAAGUCUGAGUUGCCCAAAGUUCCUGAAUUGCCUAAAUUCGACUUGCCUAAAAUUCCCGAAUUGUCUAAACCAGAGUUGCCUAAAGUACCUGAAAUUCCUAAGCCUGAGUUGCCUAAAAUACCAGAAAUACCAAAACAUUAAAUGCCUUAGAUGCUUAAGGUUCCUGAACUUUCUAAGCCAUAGUUGUCUU